rnacentral:tRNA from 1 species
UAGCUUAGUUGGUAAAGUACUUGUCUAGCGAAUAAUGGUCGUGAGUUCAAAUCUCAC